UGGGGAAUAUUGGACAAUGGGGGGAACCCUGAUCCAGCCAUGCCGCGUGUGUGAAGAAGGCCUUAUGGUUGUAAAGCACUUUAAGCGAGGAGGAGGGUACUGGUAUUAAUACUACCAGGUACUGGACGUUACUCGCAGAAUAAGCACCGGCUAACUCUGUGCCAGCAGCCGCGGUAAUACAGAGGGUGCGAGCGUUAAUCGGAAUUACUGGGCGUAAAGCGCGCGUAGGUGGUUCGUUAAGAUGAAUGUGAAAGCCCCGGGCUCAACCUGGGAACUGCAUCCAAAACUGGCGAGCUAGAGUAGGGCAGAGGGUGGUGGAAUUUCCUGUGUAGCGGUGAAAUGCGUAGAUAUAGGAAGGAACACCAGUGGCGAAGGCGACCACCUGGGCUCAUACUGACACUGAGGUGCGAAAGCGUGGGGAGCAAACAGG
rnacentral:rRNA from 1 species